rnacentral:rRNA from 1 species
UACGUAGGGUGCGAGCGUUGUCCGGAAUUAUUGGGCGUAAAGGGCGCGUAGGCGGUCCCUUAAGUCAGAUGUGAAAUCCCGAGGCUCAACUUCGGGCGUGCAUUUGAAACUGGGGGACUAGAGUGCAGGAGAGGUAAGUGGAAUUCCUAGUGUAGCGGUGAAAUGCGUAGAUACUAGGAGGAACACCAGUGGCGAAGGCGACUUACUGGACUGUAACUGACGCUGAGGCGCGAAAGCGUGGGGAGCAAACAGG